rnacentral:lncRNA from 1 species
UCUAAACAACUGGGCCAGAUUUAAAAUACACCUGAUGACAACAAUAACAAUGUUUACAGAAUCAUAGUGAAAAUCAUAGUCGGUCUCAGAAUGGUAAUUUUUUUUAUGACAGUCCAUGUCGGCUUAUCAGAAAGUGACUUUAACAAGAGUGAGAGGGGGGUAGUUUCCUUAGAUGACUAACUAAAAGGGGCGUGGCUUUAAAAAAGUAGGUGAAACAAUCUUAUCCCGAGAUCUUUUUUGCAAAGAAGAGUUAUUUAAAUAUGCCAUUUUGCCUCAUUGGGAUUCUGCAGUUUAGGGACAAAGCCUGCCUUAUUCCUCCUGUUGUAUGGAGUCUAUAAAUGCUGAUAAAGAACCCUGAACCUGGCAUUUGGGAAAUGACAUGCCAGCGCCCAUGCUGUCCAUUGUGAUAUUCCUACUACUCCAAGUCUCCCGAACUAGGCAUAGUGUCUCGAUGCCAAUUGUGAUGAUGCUUCCUGUCAUCACUUGUUCAAGAGACUCAUGGUAGAUGAUCAAGUCAUUCAAGGAAAACCGUUAAUACAGUAGGAAAAAUAGGGUUUAUGUAGAGAAGUCUUGACUGAGAGAUCCUGCUUCCUAGUGAAAUCCUUCUACCCUGGGCAUGCUUGAGCUUCAAACCUAGGGGAUGCUCUUAUUGGCACAAGGCUUUUCCAAAAAUCAACCCAGUUCCUGGUACAGCUCUCUGAAUGUUGUUUGCUAAAACCUCAAAAAACUGGCCUUGUCAGGGUACAGAGGAGCCUCAAUGAACACUGGAAGGUGUCCAUGGGCUCCCUUGGGACAAGUAUUAUUACAGUUUCAGCAAUAUUACAGUUUUUGUUUGUUUGUUGUUUUGAGAGGGAGUCUUACUCUGUCACCAAGGCUGGAGUGCAAUGGCGUGAACUUGGCUCACUGCAACCUCUGCCUCCCAGGAGAAUUGCCUGAACCCAGGAGGCGGAGGUUGCGGUGAGCCGAGAUCGCGCCAUUGCACUCCAGCCUGGGUAACAAGAGCGAAACUCCAUCUCAAAAAAAAAAAAAAAAAAAAAAUCAAAAGUAAGACGUGAAAUGACUCCCCCUUUUUAGAAAGAUUCAUCGUAAACCUAAAUGUAUAGUUUGUCUCAGAUGCUUAAAAACUGUUGCACCUAAAUCUUUAUCAUUGAUUAAAUUCCUUCACUAACAUUUUUGUGAAUGCAAAGGAAAGGCAGGAACCCAUUUAGAAAUUCUUUGUAUGUUUACAAGCAAUUAUUGAGUGCCUGGCUGACUUUUAACCAGAUCAUGCGAAUUUCAUUUGUCUAACUGUCCUUCUAGUU